GACGAAGGUGGCGAGCGUUGUUCGGAAUCACUGGGCAUAAAGCGCACGUAGGCGGUGCCGUAAGUCGGAUGUGAAAUCCCUCGGCCUAACCGAGGAACUGCGUCCGAUACUGCGGUGCUUGAGGACCAGAGGGGUGCAUGGAAUUUCCGGUGGAGCGGUGAAAUGCGUUGAUAUCGGAAGGAACACCUGUGGCGAAAGCGGCUCACUGGACCACAACUGACGCUGAGGCGCGAAAGCUAGGGGAGCAAACAGG
rnacentral:rRNA from 1 species